CAAUUCCUUCGGGGCAGGGUGAAAUUCCCGACCGGCGGUGAUCGCGCAAGGCGCGUAAGCCCGCGAGCCUCCCUGGCGGAAACGCCUGGGAGUGCAGGAUCCGGUGCGAAUCCGGAGCCGACAGUACAGUCUGGAUGGGAGAAGGAUGAC
rnacentral:ncRNA from 2 species